rnacentral:rRNA from 1 species
GGGGUAACGAUGGCUUCGGCCAGGCGACGACCGGCGCACGGGUGAGUAUCGCGUNUGUAACCUGCCUCUAACUGGAGGAUAGCCCGAAGAAAUUCGGAUUAAUACUCCAUAAAGCCAUGAUUUGGCAUCAUUUCAUGGUUAAAGCUCCGGCGGUUAGAGAUGGGCAUGCGUGACAUUAGUUAGUUGGUGAGGUAACGGCUCACCAAGACAACGAUGUCUAGGGGGUCUGAGAGGAUGGUCCCCCACACUGGUACUGAGACACGGACCAGACUCCUACGGGAGGCAGCAGUGAGGAAUAUUGGUCAAUGGGCGCAAGCCUGAACCAGCCAUGCCGCGUGAAGGAUGACAGCCCUAUGGGUUGUAAACUUCUUUUGUACGGGAAGAAACACUUCUACGUGUAGAAGCUUGACGGUACCGUACGAAUAAGCAUCGGCUAACUCCGUGCCAGCAGCCGCGGUAAUACGGAGGAUGCAAGCGUUAUCCGGAUUCAUUGGGUUUAAAGGGUACGUAGGCGGGAGAUUAAGUCAGUGGUGAAAUCCUGCAGCUUAAACUGUGGAACUGUCAUUGAUACUGGUCUUCUUGAAUAUAGUUGAAGUAGGCGGAAUGUGUAAUUGUAGCGGUGAAAUGCUUAGAUAUUACACAGAACACCGAUUGCGAAGGCAGCUUAACUAAACUAUGAUUGACGCUGAGGUACGAAAGCGUGGGGAGCGAACAGGAUUAGAUACCCUGGUAGUCCACGCUGUAAACGAUGAUCA